CUCAGUAAUUGCUCCACAACUUUUAACCCCUCUCUGUCUCUCUCUGAAGCUUUGCUUUUGGAGUUUAUAGGGAGCUGAAGAUUCUGCAACGAGUUCGGAGUUGCUGAUUCUGCAACAAGUUCUCAUCGCAACACGGCUUUUUAUCUCAUUUGGUAUCUCUCCAUGGCGUCCAAGAGCAACAAUUGACCAGCGUCGGCCACGAAGUCAUCAAUGUUGCUCCCAGCGAAUGUGGUUCUCUCCUUGGGCUUGAGCAUAAGCCCCAUGGCAUAGGCCUUGGUGCCUCUCAUGGCGCUCUGUGACGACCCUUCCAAGAGUUUGAAAGUGGCAUGGGAUUGCUCUUGUUGCUGGGUUUUGAAGGCCACGCCGAGGGCUAGGGAGUUCGGAGCGGCUGUGUAGUUGUGAAUGAAGGCUUAGGGCGGAGGGUUUGGGGGCUUGAAUGAGGAGAAAUGGCAGGAGGGUUUGGCCACGUGUUCGGGGUGUGGUAGACCCGGUUGUAGCGAACUGUACAAUUAAUCACGUGUAUCUGAAUACACGUGGCACAGUGGCCACGUGAAUAUCAGUACACGUGGCUACCCGUGUGCCACGCUCUUAUGAGUGCAUGUGGCUGACAGUCAGCCACGUGUAUUUUUUGUACACGUGGCUAACUGUCAGCCAUGUGUACUGAUAUACACGUGGCUGACUGUUAAAAAUUAAUUUUUUAAUUUCUUUUGUUAAUUUCUUUUUUAAUUUAAUUAAAUUUUUGUGAA